AUGGGCGAGUUCGGGGAGAAGUCGACAACUACAUGGGGCACCGUCUGCCUCAAGUGCCUGCUCUUCACUUGCAGCUGCUGCUUCUGGCUGGCUGGUCUGGCCUUCACGGCUGUGGGCAUCUGGACGCUGGCCCUCAGGCGUGACUGCAUCAGCUGCUGGCUUGGGGCACCUGCCUGGCCACAGCCUGCAUCCUGGUGGUGGUGGGCGCUGUCGUCACUGUAACUGGGGUUCUGGGCUGCUGUGCCACCUUCAAGGAACAGAGGAAUCUGCUAUGUCUGUCCUCCAUCCUUCUUAACUCUGCUGGAGAUCAUUGCAAGAGUCUAUGUCUACUCUCAGUGGCUGAACGCAGAGCUCAAGGAGAACCUGAAGGACACCAUGACCAAGGGGUACCACCAGCCGGGCCACGAGGGCAUGAGCAGCGCCGUGGACAAGUUGCAGCAGGAGUUCCUCUGUUGUGGCAGCAACAACUGGCAGGCCUGGCAGGACAGGGAGCGGGACUGGCAGGACAGUGAGUGCAUCCGCUUGGGCCAGGCAGGUGGACAUGUGGUCCCCGAGAGCUGCUGCAAGACCAUGGUUGCUGGCCAUGGGCGGUGGGACCACGCCUCCAACGUCUACAGAGUGGGGGCAGCUGUAUCACCAAGCUGGAGACCCUCAUCCAGGAGAACUUGAGGAUCAGCGGGGCCAUGGGCCUGGGCAUCGCCUGUGUGCAGGUGUUCGGCGUGCUCUUGUACAACAGCCUGUACAAGAGCCCGAAGCUGGAGCGCUGUUGA
rnacentral:lncRNA from 1 species